rnacentral:lncRNA from 1 species
UUAUCAUUUCUAUGGAAUUAAGUCUGAAUUUUUUUUUUUUAGACAGAAAUCUUAAUCUGCAACUUUGGUGUCUCUUCUGAGCCCCACUUCUGUUUUUCUGACUGCUUUAACACUUAAAAGGAUGAUGUGCUGGGACCUCAAAAGCAGCAUAUAUUUCCCCAAUCAUUCUCCUAACUUCAUCAAACCCUGCUCCUCCCCUAUUCCCAAUUUUUGAUAUUACUACUUACCCAAUCACCCAGACCUAAAACCUAAAACUAUUAUAUUUGAUUCCUCUUUUCCCCCUAGCUGUCACAUCCAGUUAUUACUAUAUCUUGUCUAUUCUAAUCCUGCAUCAUUUAUCCCCUCUUCUCUGUUCCCACUGAGUACUGUAAUGGCCUCAUAAUUAGUCUCUCUCCUCUCUCAUUUAUCCUAUACAUUCCUUUCAAAUAAAUCUUCCUG